rnacentral:rRNA from 1 species
ACUGCUCAGUAACACGUGGACAACCUGCCCUGAGGACUGGAAUAAUCCCGGGAAACUGGGGGUAAUUCCAGAUAUGUCGGAACUCCUGGAAUGGGUUCUGGCAGAAAGGCUCCGGCGCCUCAGGAUGGGUCUGCGGCCUAUCAGGGUAGUAGUGGGUGUAACGUACCUACUAGCCUACGACGGGUACGGGUUGUGAGAGCAAGAGCCCGGAGAUGGAUUCUGAGACAUGAAUCCAGGCCCUACGGGGUGCAGCAGGCGCGAAAACUUUACAAUGCGGGCAACCGCGAUAAGGGGACCUCGAGUGCUGGGUUACAAACCUGGCUGUUGGGCUGCCUAAAAAGCAGUCUAUAGCAAGGGCCGGGCAAGACCGGUGCCAGCCGCCGCGGUAACACCGGCGGCUCGAGUGGUAGCCGCUAUUAUUGGGUCUAAAGGGUCUGUAGCCGGCCGACUAAGUCUCUUGGGAAAUCUGGCAUCUCAAGUGUCAGGCUGCCAGGGGAUACUGGUCGGCUUGGGACCGGGAGAGGUGAGAGGUACCUCGGGGGUAGGGGUGAAAUCUUGUAAUCCUCGAGGGACCACCAGUGGCGAAGGCGACUCACCAGAACGGAUCCGACGGCAAGGGACGAAAGCUAGGGGCACGAACCGGAUUAGAUACCCGGGUAGUCCUAGCCGUAAACGAUACUCGCUAGGUGUCGGCCACGGUGCGACCGUGGUCGGUGCCGUAGGGAAGCCGUGAAGCGAGCCACCUGGGAAGUACGGCCGCAAGGCUGAAACUUAAAGGAAUUGGCGGGGGAGCAC